rnacentral:tRNA from 1 species
AGUACAGUGGCCGACUGGUUAAGGUGUUGGAUUUAAGUUCCAAUGGACAAUUGUCCGCAUUGGUUCGAACACCAUCCGCACAA